GCAGUGUACCCGCGGCAAGACGGAAAGACCCCGUGAACCUUUACUAUAGCUUGACACUGAACAUUGAGCCUUGAUGUGUAGGAUAGGUGGGAGGCUUUGAAGUGUGGACGCCAGUCUGCGUGGAGCCGACCUUGAAAUACCACCCUUUAAUGUUUGAUGUUCUAACGUGGACCCGUAAUCCGGGUUGCGGACAGUGUCUGGUGGGUAGUUUGACUGGGGCGGUCUCCUCCUAAAGAGUAACGGAGGAGCACGAAGGUUGGCUAAUCCUGGUCGGACAUCAGGAGGUUAGUGCAAUGGCAUAAGCCAGCUUGACUGCGAGCGUGACGGCGCGAGCAGGUGCGAAAGCAGGUCAUAGUGAUCCGGUGGUUCUGAAUGGAAGGGCCAUCGCUCAACGGAUAAAAGGUACUCCGGGGAUAACAGGCUGAUACCGCCCAAGAGUUCAUAUCGACGGCGGUGUUUGGCACCUCGAUGUCGGCUCAUCACAUCCUGGGGCUGAAGUAGGUCCCAAGGGUAUGGCUGUUCGCCAUUUAAAGUGGUACGCGAGCUGGGUUUAGAACGUCGUGAGACAGUUCGGUCCCUAUCUGCCGUGGGCGCUGGAGAACUGAGGGGGGCUGCUCCUAGUACGAGAGGACCGGAGUGGACGCAUCACUGGUGUUCGGGUUGUCAUGCCAAUGGCACUGCCCGGUAGCUAAAUGCGGAAGAGAUAAGUGCUGAAAGCAUCUAAGCACGAAACUUGCCCCGAGAUGAGUUCUCCCUGAGACUUAGAGUCUCCUGAAGGAACGUUGAAGACGACGACGUUGAUAGGCCGGGUGUGUAAGCGCAGCGAUGCGUUGAGCUAACCGGUACUAAUGAACCGUGAGGCUUAACCUUACAACGCCGAAG
rnacentral:rRNA from 1 species